CCAGGCCCUACGGGGUGCAGCAGGCGCGAAACCUCCGCAAUGUGAGAAAUCGCGACGGGGGGAUCCCAAGUGCCAUUCUUAACGGGAUGGCUUCUCAUUAGUGUAAAGAGCUUUUGGAAUAAGAGCUGGGCAAGACCGGUGCCAGCCGCCGCGGUAACACCGGCAGCUCUAGUGGUAGCAGUUUUUAUUGGGCCUAAAGCGUCCGUAGCCGGUUUAAUAAGUCUCAGGUGAAAUCCUGCAGCUUAACUGUGGGAAUUGCUGGAGAUACUAUUAGACUUGAGAUCGGGAGAGGUUAGAGGUACUCCCAGGGUAGAGGUGAAAUUCUGUAAUCCUGGGAGGACCGCCUGUUGCGAAGGCGUCUGACUGGAACGAUUCUGACGGUGAGGGACGAAAGCUAGGGGCGCGAACCGGAUUAGAUACCCGGGUAGUCCUAGCUGUAAACGAUGCGGACUUGGUGUUGGGGUGGCUUUGAGCUGUCCCAGUGCCGAAGGGAAGCUGUUAAGUCCGCCGCCUGGGAAGUACGAUCGCAAGACUGAAACUUAAAGGAAUUGGCGGGGGAGCACCACAACGCGUGGAGCCUGCGGUUUAAUUGGAGUCAACGCCGG
rnacentral:rRNA from 1 species